rnacentral:rRNA from 1 species
GGACAUUGUCUUGUAAUUGGAAUGAUGGUGACCUAAACCCUCACCAGAGUAACAAUUGGAGGGCAAGUCUGGUGCCAGCAGCCGCGGUAAUUCCAGCUCCAAUAGCGUAUAUUAAACUUGUUGCAGUUAAAAAGCUCGUAGUUGAAUUUUUGCGUGGUGUUAAUAUUGACUAAUGUCGAGAUUGCACUUCGCUUUUGGGAUUUAUCCCUUUUUACUUUGAGAAAAUUAGAGUGUUUCAAGCAGACUUUUGUCUUGAAUACUUCAGCAUGGAAUAAUAGAGUAGGACUUUGGUUUAUUUUUUUGUUGGA